AGAUGAGGACAUAUAAAUGGAGGCUGGCAUCUUCAUAAGUACCAGCGGUGGUCCCGGUGUGGGUCUCUCCAUCCAGGGACAUGGUGGAUGGACACUACAUCACUCCAUUCUGCCCUUCCUUUCCCUCCUCCCAUUCUCCCGAGGGCCUCAGUGCAUGGGCGCUGUCCAACCUCUGGUGCUGAAGCAGCCAAGAGACCCAAGCCUGCGUGGCUGUCUCUUAGGAUAUGACAGCACAGCCACUGGCCUCUACUGAAUCCUAUGCAACCUCAGAAGACACCCAGGAGUGAUGCCAUCACGUGGUGCAAGAGUUCUGAGGGACCGCAAUCCUGAAGACAUUGAAUGGCUGUUCCUGCUCAUUGCUGGAGGCACUGUCAGGGGCCCUGUCCUCAACCCCGGGUCUGACCCUUGCAGAUCAGGCAGGACAUUCUGGAGGAAUCAUGGCCUUGGAAGGAUCCCUGAGGAGUGACUGUUGUUAGAUUAAAAAACAGUGGCAAAGAGCAAUACAGAGAGUUGCCAAAAUUCACACCACUGGUCCAGGUUUGAAGCAAGCAGUCUGUACCUGCAGUCCUUGUCUGUAACCAUGGCACCCUGGCUUCUCACACGUCUCAUCGUGGAGUUCCCCCAUGUGUCAGGCAUGGCACUGAGCACCUUCUUUUAAGAAUAUAAUUUGUAAUUAUGUAGAUUAUUAAUUCUACUUCAAAAUGCCACACAGCCUUCAUGUGAUAAAAUGAAACAAUUGGUGAGUCUAAGCAUUGAGAAAAAACGUUCUUUUUUCCACUCCCGACUCCAUUCCAACAGUUGGGACAGUGUUUUCUCUGUGCCUGUAGAAACUUCAGCUUCUGUGCUGAGGAGCCUGUUCCCUUUGGGGAAUGUGGCAGUCAGGUACUGGCAGGGACCUCGAAGUGGCUGAAGGGUCAUUAAGAAAAAGCUGUUUACAAAGGUGUGGGCAGGGCCAAGGGGAACCAGGGGGGAUGGCGCAGGGCCCUGGGGUUAGCGUCAUCUGGGAGCUGUCACCACCCUCCAGGCUGGUGGGGCCAUGGAGAAGCUGUUCCAGUAACUUGGAGAAUCUGCAGCUGAAAGAGGAGGCCAGAGGAGACAUCACUCACUGUGCCCUUUGACUGCAUCUGGAUGCCCCCACUGACCACACUACCAUCCCCUUAUUAGACUGGAGAGGCUGCAGGGAGGGGUUCUAAGCCUCCUAUAGUGGCUCACCUCCAACACUCAACUGAUCUCCUGGGAUCUCUACUAAGAUGUUGGCAGCCCGGCCAGCUGGUCUGGCCCUGGAUGUGCCUUCAGGGUCUGGUUAUGCUUCAUGACCUGCAUUGUGGUCAGUGGUAAGCAGCACCUGCUUCUAGCUUUACUGUUGGGUCAGAUCUUAUCCCCACUCCAGCUCUGCAGUGCAGCUGCUUCUUGAUUCAUCCAUGGACCCUGCACGAAAUUGCCCCAUGUUUCUGUUUGUGCAUCACUGAGGAAGGAAGCAUGAAGGACGCACAGCUCAUCUCACUCUGGUAAUGUCUUUGAUUACCACCACCAUCUGACCUGGUCUUAUGACCUGUUAGCUUCCUUCAUCAGAUGUGAGCACCAGGAUGGCAGGGGCCUCAUCUGUCCUGUUCCUCCUGUGGCCUGGGUCCUAGCACCCUGUCUGCCAUUUUGCAGACUCUGAUCACAGUGAAACGUUCCAUGGGAACUUGGGCCCUGAGAAACAUCCUUCCUAACCACGUGACUGCAGAAACAUCCUUAUCGCAUCCUCUCAGGCAAAGGCCCAACAGCCUGACUGCAGGGACAUCCUUGCCAUAUCCUGCUGGGCAGCAAGCUCUAACACCCAGAUCCCUCCCUCCCAGUCCCAUGAUUACCCCAGCCUGUGAGCGGCAGUUGGUGCUGGCACUAAGCUGGUUUCCUUCUCCCUAGGGUUUUGCUGGCAAUAAAGAUGUUGCUGUUGAAGCCACCAA